rnacentral:lncRNA from 1 species
GCAUGCAAUACAUUGAAGGCAUAUGAUAGUAUAGUGUUAUUUUAGUAUUUUAAAGUAAUUUUCGUAUUUUAUGUCCAUGUAAGUAUUGCUAAAUACUUCUGUGACAUAGUAACAAAUAUUGCUUACGUCAAUAAACUUUAAUAAGUAGUUAAAAAGUUUUAACUAAGUAAUUUGGAAGAUUGAAGAAAGCUAGGUUAACAAAUUUUAUGUUUUAUAAGUUUAAUAAAAAAUAAUAUUGAGCAUCCCUAAAAUAGAUUUUAGGUAAAAUCAUCGGGGUUUUUACUUUAGGAGACUUUAGUAUCAAAAGUUUGGUUGUUAAUUGUAUCAAAUUGGUACAAUUUUAACAACUCUGGCAACGCUGAAUUGCCUGCCAUACGUCCUGUCAUUAUAAAUCACGUGGUUUGGAUUGCCUAAUU